ACACACACACACACACACACACACACACACACACACACACACACACACACACACUGUAAACUUGACUCAGUAAGACAGUGCCAAGACUGUAUGCCCAACAUGGAGUUACCCUGUAUCCAAGUCCACUCUCCAUUUGAACGUGUCAGCAAAUCUUUCUGCAUGAAAAAAAAUUGUAUGUCUUUUCAGGAGGUCAAAGUGACAAGGUGGGUCACGCAGGCACACAGCAGGUGAGUAAAAGCCACACUGAAAGUAAACAUCCCCUCAUGGUACUCAGUGGUCAUGAGUUUCUCCAUUAAGGUUACCAGUGUGACUGCUGUCUUUUGGUUUUAGGGUCUGACUGGGAUUUUUACUGGAACUGGAGUAAAUCUCCUCGUCCGAACUGCUCUCGAUGUCACUGCGGUCGUCUUUUGCCACCUGUGCAAUGAAACAAAAUAGUGAGGAAAAUAAAAACAAGGCUAAAAGAGUGUAGAGCCAUGCUGGCAGCUCGUGAGCAUGUUAACAUGCCUGCAAUAACAAUGGUAACAUCCUGAUGCAGGUAAUGUUAACCAGUCACCAUUUUAGUGUAGCAUGUUUGCAUGAUAAUAUUUUCUAAUUAGCACUAAACAAGGUACAGCUGAGGCUGAUGGGAAUGUCAGUUUUACAGGUAUUUAAUUAUGAACCAAAUAUUGGACAAAAAUUAAAAUUGACCCGAUUAUAGUGCGAAAUGAAAGACAAUUUACCCUAAGGGGAACAUGAACGUC